rnacentral:rRNA from 1 species
UACGGAAGGUCCGAGCGUUAUCCGGAUUUAUUGGGUUUAAAGGGAGCGUAGGCGGAAUGCUAAGUCAGCCGUUAAAUAUCGGGGCUCAACCCCGCAGUGCGGUUGAAACUGGUGUUCUUGAGUGCACAAGAGGUAAGUGGAAUUCGUGGUGUAGCGGUGAAAUGCUUAGAUAUCACGAAGAACUCCGAUUGCGAAGGCAGCUUACUGGGGUGCAACUGACGCUGAUGCUCGAAGGUGCGGGUAUC